CCGUAGGGUAACCUGCGGAGGGUUCAUUACGAGUUAUACAACUCAUCAACCCUGUGAACAUACCUAUAACGUUGCCUCGGCGGGAACAGACGGCCCCGUAACACGGGCCGCCCCCGCCAGAGGACCCCCUAACUCUGUUUCUAUAAUGUUUCUUCUGAGUAAACAAGCAAAUAAAUUAAAACUUUCAACAACGGAUUCUUGGUUUGGCAUCGAUGAAGAACGCAGCGAAAUGCGAUAAGUAAUGUGAAUUGCAGAAUUCAGUGAAUCAUCGAAUCUUUGAACGCACAUUGCGCCCGCCAGUAUUCUGGCGGGCAUGCCUGUUCGAGCGUCAUUACAACCCUCAGGCCCCCGGGCCUGGCGUUGGGGAUCGGCGGAAGCCCCCUGCGGGCACAACGCCGUCCCCCAAAUACAGUGGCGGUCCCGCCGCAGCUUCCAUUGCGUAGUAGCUAACACCUCGCAACUGGAGAGCGGCGCGGCCAGCCGUAAAACACCCAACUUAUGAAUGUGACCUCGGAUCAUGCUGCAUUC
rnacentral:rRNA from 1 species